AGUGAACGCUGGCGGUAGGCCUAACACAUGCAAGUCGAACGGCAGCACAGUAAGAGCUUGCUCUUACGGGUGGCGAGUGGCGGACGGGUGAGGAAUACGUCGGAAUCUACUUUUUCGUGGGGGAUAACGUAGGGAAACUUACGCUAAUACCGCAUACGACCUACGGGUGAAAGCAGGGGAUCUUCGGACCUUGCGCGAUUGGAUGAGCCGAUGUCGGAUUAGCUAGUUGGCGGGGUAAAGGCCCACCAAGGCGACGAUCCGUAGCUGGUCUGAGAGGAUGAUCAGCCACACUGGAACUGAGACACGGUCCAGACUCCUACGGGAGGCAGCAGUGGGGAAUAUUGGACAAUGGGCGCAAGCCUGAUCCAGCCAUACCGCGUGGGUGAAGAAGGCCUUCGGGUUGUAAAGCCCUUUUGUUGGGAAAGAAAAGCAGCAGGUUAAUACCCCGCUGUUCUGACGGUACCCAAAGAAUAAGCACCGGCUAACUUCGUG
rnacentral:rRNA from 1 species